rnacentral:rRNA from 1 species
AGAGUUUGAUCCUGGCUCAGAUUGAACGCUGGCGGCGUGCUUAACACAUGCAAGUCGUACGCGAAAGGGACUUCGGUCCCGAGUAAAGUGGCGCACGGGUGAGUAACACGUGGAUAAUCUGCCUCUAUGAUGGGGAUAACAGUUGGAAACGACUGCUAAUACCGAAUACGCUCAUAAUGAACUUUGUGAGGAAAGGUGGCCUCUGCUUGCAAGCUAUCGCAUAGAGAUGAGUCCGCGUCCCAUUAGCUAGGUUGGUGGGGUAACGGCCUACCAAGGCAACGAUGGGUAGCCGAUCUGAGAGGAUGAUCGGCCACACUGGAACUGAAACACGGUCCAGACUCCGUACGGGAGGCA